GACGAACGCUGGCGGCGUGCUUAACACAUGCAAGUCGAGCGGUAAGGCCUUUCGGGGUACACGAGCGGCGAACGGGUGAGUAACACGUGGGUGACCUGCCCUCAGCUCUGGGAUAAGCCUGGGAAACUGGGUCUAAUACCGGAUAUGACUCCAUGACGCAUGUUGUGGGGUGGAAAGCCUUGUGCGGCUGAGGAUGGGCCCGCGGCCUAUCAGCUUGUUGGUGGGGUGANGGCCUACCAAGGCGACGACGGGUAGCCGGCCUGAGAGGGCGACCGGCCACACUGGGACUGAGACACGGCCCAGACUCCUACGGGAGGCAGCAGUGGGGAAUCUUGCGCAAUGGGCGAAAGCCUGACGCAGCGACGCCGCGUGAGGGAUGACGGCCU
rnacentral:rRNA from 1 species